UACGGGUACGAUGAGCGUACGAGUAAAACACAAACAUUAGUGAAUAUGUGCAAAUGUAUAAAGAUAUAUAAGCAUUGCAUUUUACGACAGUAAUUCAAAGGCAGAAAUAAAUGUGGAUUGUUUAUAUGUUGUAAUAUCGGUAGCUGUGAAGCUCGCGCGAAAUUAGUGCAAAUAUUUUGAAUAUAUGUAUAUUCCUUAAAGCGCGGAAAUUCAAAAUUGAGUAAACUGCAUUUCCUACAGAGGAAAACACGAUAAGCAAUAAUUAUAGUGCAUGAAAUUUUGAAUAAUGAACGUAAAUUAUUGAAACUGCGUGCAUUAAAACACAUUAGACAAAUUCGUUUAUAGAUACAAAGUCAGUAGACAGAAUUUCAAAAUAGGAAGUAGUCAAGAAAGUAAGUGAGAAAAUAAAUAAAAGUCUAUAAAUAACAUUUUUUUUUUUUNAAAAACAAAUAUAAAAAACUAAGCCAGUGGGAAAGUGGCGAAGAAAAGUAAGAAACGUAACAGCUCAACAAGUGCAAGAAACCGCAAACAGUCGCCCACCUUAUGCACGCUGCACUACCGCGUGUAUGUCUCGUCGUUUGCGUGCCGCGCAUGCGCAGUGCUUUGUUCAGAUAUUUUUGCCUCUUAAAAAUUCGUAUUUCUGCAACAAAAAGUUUUAACCGUACUCGUGCCAAUUUUUUACUAUUUACGCGCGUUUUGUUUUCUGUAUUUUAUUAAGCUCUUUACUUUUGGGUGCGUUAAGUGUGUUUUUCUUUGAAUUACUGUGAGUAAUGGCGAGAAAACAUAAUAAUAACACAACGAUAAAGAUGCUGAAAAGUGAAAAUUUAAGUCUAUGGCCGCUGGCAUUUGCCUCUUUCCUUGCACUGCAGCUGCUCGCCGGUACCGCUGAAGCCUUCACUAUACUCUCGCCAUUCAGUUACACAUCUUUGAGCUUUAAGAAUCUGCUAAAUUCUGUGUUUUUAGCCAGUAAUGCGAAUUUGGCGGGUGGUGGGCGAAAUCUAAAAUCAGACAUACUUGAGGAUGCGUCAUUGAUAACGCCGAAAUUGAUACGCAAGUACGGUUACCCAUCGGAGACACAUACUGUGGUGACAAAGGAUGGCUAUAUUCUAGAGAUGCAUCGCAUACCAAAACGUGGCGCCCAGCCAGUGCUUCUGAUGCAUGGCAUAUUGGACACCUCGGCCACAUGGGUGCUGAUGGGACCAAAAUCAGGGUUGGGUUACAUGCUAUCGGAUCUCGGUUACGACAUAUGGAUGGGCAAUGCGCGUGGCAAUCGAUAUUCGAAGAAUCACACGAGCCUUAAUAGCGAUUACCAGGAAUUCUGGGAUUUCACCUUUCACGAAAUGGGCAAAUAUGAUUUACCGGCAAAUAUUGAUUAUAUCCUCAGCAAAACAGGUUACGAACAGCUGCACUAUAUAGGACACUCGCAGGGCACUGCAGUCUUUUGGGUUCUGUGUUCCGAGCAGCCUUCCUAUACACAAAAAAUACUAUCGAUGCACGCUCUAGCUCCCAUAGCGUUCAUUUCUGAUAUGAAGAGUCCACUUUUUCGAACAUUGGUUGUGUUUUUAGACUUUUUAACGGCAGCGACACGUAUGCUACGCAUUACUGAAUUUAUGCCCAAUACAAAAUUGUUUGUAGAUCACACCCAAGUGGUGUGCCACGACAACGCAAUGACACAGGACGUCUGUUCGAAUAUAUUGUUCCUGGUGGCUGGCUACAAUUCGGAGCAAUUGAAUAAGACAAUGUUACCAGUCAUGUUGAGUCAUACACCUUCAGGGGCAUCAAUUAAACAACUCGAACAUUUCGGGCAGCUAAUGAAAUCGGGGAAUUUUCGCCAAUUCGAUCGUGGCUUUUUGCGCAAUCAACUUCAAUACAAUCGUAUGACACCGCCCGAUUAUGAUCUGUCCAAGGUGAAGGUGCCGGUGGCUCUUUACUAUUCGAUGAACGAUAUGUUGGUAUCGACGACAGGUGUCGAUCGUUUGGCACGCGAGUUGCCCGAUGUGAUUGACAAAUACUUGGUGCCCAUGGAGAAGUUCAAUCAUUUGGACUUUUUAUGGGCGAUCGAUGUCAAGUCACUAGUGUACAAUCGCCUCGUAAGGAAUAUUAGACGCGUGGAGAAUUACAAGCAAAAGCAAACGCUACAAAUUAAUGCGAACAUACAACAGUUUAGUACACAUCUACACCAACAACAUUUACAAGUAUUACAUCAACGACAACAUCGGCAACAGCAGAAACUUUUGCGCGAACAGCAAGAAUUGGAAAAUCAACAACUAAAAAGAAGCGGAAACACACGCUCCGGCACAAAUCGAAAUUUCCAUACAAUUUCGAAUACGAAUUUAAAUUCAAACACAAUUGGCAGCGCAGGUCAGCCUAUAAAUGGACGCUUACAUCCUCAUGGACAGAACGUAUAUUCGACUUAUGCUUCACUUUUGCCGCAACUCUUGCCGGCAACAGCCACAGUGCCGUCUAUAAAACCAACACUGCCAAUACUGACAACGCUACCAACGGUGCCAACCGUCAACACGAACUCGCAUCAAGAUUUAUCUGUGAUAGACUCGGAUAUACAUCCAGUUUAUAAGCCAAGCGUAAAUGAGCAUGAAACUAUGGACCAAGAAAGUCUUUCAAAUUCUAAUAUACCAUUAGAUUUCAUGCCAGUUUUGUCCUCGAAUACAGAGUCGAAUAUGGAGGACAUGAGCACGAAUGCGCCACUAUCCAACUUCUCGGAAACGACGGAAAAAGUUGUGGAAGGGAGUGCGUGAAACACACUACAAUUGUACUCAUCCAUCUGCCCCUGCAACGUUAACUUCACCGUGAUGCCUGACAUUCAGAGGAAGUUAUAUUGUGAUUGGAUGGAAUAUCCCUAAAUCGCCAAAUUGCCAUGCCCAUACCAAAUACCGCUUAUCAGCCUUUACCUAAAAAUUAGGAAAAGUGGACUGCUAAACCACGACGAGUUCCAAAGUAAUGCAAUUUUCAUAUUUCAGUACAGGCAUCAACAUAAAUAUGAAUACUUGGUACAAAUACUUCUUACAAAUUACGAGAGUAUAUAUGUUCACCACUCUCUAUCUUAGCCCUAACUUAGUAUUUUUAUAUGGU
rnacentral:misc_RNA from 1 species